rfam:Macrostomum lignano uti_cns_0009725, whole genome shotgun sequence.
CAAACGGCCCUUUUCAGGGCCACCCUAAACUAACUUAGUGAUUGAGU